UACAGCCAUAUCACAUUGAAACAACAGUUCUCAUACAAUCACCAAAGUUAAGCAACAUCAAGCCUGGUCAGUACCUAGAUGGGUGACCACUUGGAAAUACCUGGUGCUGUAAG